rnacentral:rRNA from 1 species
UACGUAGGGGGCAAGCGUUGUCCGGAAUCAUUGGGCGUAAAGAGCUCGUAGGCGGUUUGUCGCGUCUGCUGUGAAAACCUGAGGCUCAACCUCGGGCUUGCAGUGGGUACGGGCAGACUAGAGUGCGGUAGGGGUGACUGGAAUUCCUGGUGUAGCGGUGGAAUGCGCAGAUAUCAGGAGGAACACCGAUGGCGAAGGCAGGUCACUGGGCCGCAACUGACGCUGAGGAGCGAAAGCAUGGGGAGCGAACAGG